rnacentral:rRNA from 1 species
CUACGGGAGGCACCAGUGGGGAAUAUUGGACAAUGGGGGAAACCCUGAUCCAGCAAUGCCGCGUGUGUGAAGAAGGCCUGCGGGUUGUAAAGCACUUUCGGUUGGGAGGACUGCUUCUAGCACUAAUAUUGUUGGAAGUUGACGUUACCUUCAGAAGAAGCACCGGCUAACUCCGUGCCAGCAGCCGGGGUAAUACGGAGGGUGCAAGCGUUAAUCGGAAUUACUGGGCGUAAAGCGCGCGUAGGCGGCUAGAUCAGUCGGGUGUGAAAGCCCCGGGCUUAACAUGGGAACUGCAUCCGAUACUGUCUAGCUUGAGUACAGGAGAGGAGAGUGGAAUUCCACAUGUAGCGGUGAAAUGCGUAGAUAUGUGGAGGAACACCAAUGGCGAAGGCAGCUCUCUGGCCUGAUACUGACGCUGAGGUGCGAAAGCGUGGGGAGCAAACAGGAUUAGAUACCCCCGUAGUC